GGAAGGUGAGAUGAGGGAAUGAGCAGUGAAAGGCAGACAGGUAGUAGGUGCAUUGGGGAGAGUUAUGAAAGGAAGAAGUGUGCGGUAAAGAGGGGAAUAAGGAACUGCCAACUCUUGUCAUAUGCAUCAGGGAUGUGGACAUGGAAUGCAGCACAGCAAUCAUGAAUAUGUGCAGUGGAGAUGAGUUGUAUAAGAGGUGCAUGUGGUGUUUCAGGAUGGGACAGAAAGUAAUGAAAGUGUGUAUGAGAGGUAUGGUAUGAGUGUGACAGCAAAAGGAAUGGAUUGUGGAGUGGUGGAGUGGGUGAAGCGUGGUGCGCUGAGAUGGUUUGGACACGUGAUGAGAAUGGGGGAGAAUGAAUAUAUGAAGAGUGUGUAUGAGGGAAAGAUUGAGGUAGGGGGUGUCUGGGGAAGACCACCAGUGAAGUGUAUCAAUAGGGUGAGUGAGUAUUGGAGUGAGAGAGUUGGAAGUAGCAGGAUUGAGUGUGCUGAGAGGGAGUGCCAGAACAGGGAGAGAUGGAGACACUUCUGCCGCAGCCACCCCCUGGAGGAAAGUUCCCGUGAGGGAGCAGGGCGUCGGAGAUAUAGAUAGAUAAAUAUAAAAGGUAGUGGCUGAGUGGUCAGUGUGCAGACAUGGUGUCCUGGGGACCUGGGUUCAAGUCCCACCCUCCACUACACACUGAUAAUUCUCAUUCACGCUGCCCUGAUGACUACUUAUCAACCCAGGCUCUAGAGAAACUGAAGAGGAGAAAGUGGGGCUUGGAUGGCUAGCAUGAGCCAAGCAAGAUGGGGCCACUAUAAAAGCACUUUCCUGUGCCAGUAACGGGCCAACCAGCUGGCCCAAUCAAGAAAGCCUACUGGUGCAAUAGGCCAGACAUUGAAAAAAGAAGCUUCUUUGGAAAUAUUGUGAGGAAGCUGUUGUGUGGGAUGCCAUCCCAUUAUCUCAAUGGACUCUUCCCUCUUCCUGCUGGAGUUUGUGUGCCUAAGGGGUACAUUGAAUGCAUGGAUACAUGUAUCCAUGCCUGCAAGACUUGACUCACUCUCCCGCUGUUCCUGACUGGGCACGCUGCUGAGUUAUAGCCACAUCUCAUGGUUUACACUUAGCAUGGUGUGCCUGCACUUGUUUGAACACAUACCCGCCCCACACCUUCUCGCUAUCUGCCUUCCCACUCUUCAGUCUUGCAUAUGUCCUUUGGCUAUGCACUCGUUCAUGACCUAGCAUCAUAUAUCUGAGCUUUACUUUUCACUUGUAAGUGUUUUAUGAUUACAUCAUGCUUCAGCAUUUCAGCUGUCACUACACAGCACCUUAUUUUUAAAAAGUUUGAAUUUAUAUGUAUGUUAGGGUAGAGGCAUUGCACAACUCAGAAUAUUGAAUAAUUUAGAAGAGGUUUGAGCUCCUAUCUUGCAAAGUUAUGCUGUAAAACUUUUACUGUACAAUUAAAGAGACAUUAUUCAGCCAUUCUACUACUCAUUUGCACUCAUAUUUUACAACUGGAUUCUCCCUCUACCUUUUAAAAAAUUGGUUUCCAUGGAAAUUACAUUUGCGAGUAAAGAGAUGUAAGGGAAAGUACGUAGUACAAAAAAAAAAUUGCAGAUCUACAUUGUUACAGCAUAAUUACAUUGCACAUUUAAUGUUAUUAUUAGAUGUUAUAAUCAGCUCUGUGAUAAGGAGUUAAGAACUACCUCUGAGACUGCAGUUACUGUUGCUCUGGGGAAAGGGAGCAUGCCUUGCAGAUAUCGACAGUGAAAGACUAUAGGUAUACAGGAUAUAUAGUAUGGAUAUGAGAGUAGAAAAUAUAGAGUGCAAAGGGGUAAAAUGGGUAAAACAUUACCAUCAAAGUGAUCUGAGCAUGUGAGAAUGCAGGAUGUUGAUUUUGUGAAGAGUGUGUAUAAAUGUCAGGUAAGAAAAAUGGGGGUUGGAAGGGACACAUGAUAAACAUAUAGUUGGAAAGGAUGGUGAGAAUGUUGCAAGAAGGGACUUUGCUGCAUUGGCAAGUUCCAGGAGGGAACAAGGCAUCAUAGCAGUAAAUUGUGAAAUUUUUGCUUAUCUCUGAGGUGGCCCUACACAUCAUCUUUGGACAAGGAUGUGGUUGCUGGCAAACACAUGAGCUGACUCUCUUAGUAGGUUUCUUUUUCUUUUUCUUUUUAUUCUUGUUUGUCUAUCUUUGUUUUUCUUCUUCCUCUUCUUUUUCUUCUUCCUCUUCUUUGCCUUCCCAUCUAGCAGUGUGUGGGUUUUCAAUGCAUGUGUUGCUAAAGUUUGCGUACUAAUAUUUUCUUACAUUUAUGUGUUUUAUUUGUGAUAUUCCAACUGAUGAGGAAACUCCAUCUUAAAAGGCAAGGGUGCUGGAUGUUUCAGAUAAAACUUCUUAAUGAAAUGCGAGGUUGUGCUCUCAUGGAAAGAAGAAAAAUUGUUACAAGCUAAUUAACCAAAGAAUUUUUGCAUAUUUGGCAGUAUAAUGUUACAAAUUUGAUACAGACAGUUUUUUAGAUUUUAAAAAUUGUUUAUGUGACUGUGCAUGAUUGUUUUAUUUGACAUGAUGUUAGUGUGAAUUGCCAAAGUUAAUCUUCAGUAUGUAUAUAUUUUUCCUGUUCUGUUCUAUGUUAAUUAUACUUUGGACCAGGUACAUAUCCACAUCUAUCACAGCUGCCUCCUAAUGAAAGGGAGUUGGUGUACCUUAAUUGGGGAUCAUUUAAAAAUGAAUGUGGUAUUGAUAAAAUAGGGACUCUUGUUUAACGUUUGAAGGGUGUAUAUGCCUUGUAUCUAAUUCUACAUUCAUUGUAGGUCAACUCUAAUUGUAUUCCUCCUCAAUAUUUUCUGUUAUCCAUGUCCUGCUUUCCAGUACACCCUUACUUUACCCUGCAGAAAGCUUUGUAAAUCGAGUUCUCGGUAGAAGGAUGAUAUUGAGACUUUUCACCCUUAUUGAUAUCCCAAAGUAAAGAUUAUAUAUGAGUAAGGUUUAAAUAGUGAGCUUCUAGGAAGCAGGGUAUAAUAGGUGAAUUCAAGGUAAUCAUUGAAAAUAAUAGAUAUCCAUCAGAGUUAAGUUAUGGCAAGUUUUUUUGUACUUUACCUUGAGAGCAUAAGGCAAAGUAAAAACAAAAAGAUAGUAUGUUAGUAACCUCAAAAGUUUUAUGCUUCUAAUCAACAGGCAUUGUUUUCUUUUCAAUUCCUAUCAAUUUUUGUUUAUAUGCCAGCCCGUACUGUACAGUGAGCUCAGUAUUGUUACUGUGACAUCACUUCCUGUGUUUUCAACUGUGCCAGACACAUUAUCUUUAGUCGUGAAUCAGGCCGUCCAGGUGCUGUCCUAUGCACCUCCUCCCUAAACACACUUGCACACUGUGUGCUCUGUUAAGAUGGAAAAUGCAGGAAACAUUGGUUCUCGACGCCGUGAGGGCAAAAAGUAUGCAGUGGAAGAUGAGGCCUUGGAUAGGAUCGCAAAAGAGAAAGAAAAACGUUGUCUCCUCCCUACUGCGCAUGCGUGGCCCAGUGUUGUAUGAAAAAAACUUCGGGGUAUGAAAUAUCUUCGGUGAAGAGAUUCUGAUUCUGAUUCAGCCUUCCACCAACUCUUAAUUACGGUUAAAAAGCUUUGUGAGACUGUACAGUUCUACGCUUGCUGGACUGAGCAUGCGCAGUUCACGAGAGACCAGUGUUUGUAAACAAAAGCGACAGCUUUUGACGGUGGGGAAGCCAAAUAACACAACACUGGUUCAGGUGUUUCUAGUAUAUUACCUUCCAUAUGUACGUGUCAACGUGUGGUUUUCAAGUUUUGUAAGUUUUCUAAAAUACAGAUAAUGAAAAUUUGAAUUCAUCUAUGUUUUUCUAUCUGAAAUAUCAAUAUAGUAUCGUUUUCGUCUAUCGGAGUUAUCGCUAGCUAGUAUCGGAAUUGUGGAUUUAUAUCGGGUAUUGGUUAUCAGUUAUCGCCUAUAUUUGUGUCUCCAGUUAACGAAUAUCGGUUAUCACCAAUAAGGUUUUUCAUUAGCAGUUAUCGGUUAUCGGGAAUAAGGUUUUCUGUUUUCGUGCCCAGCUAUGGUAAAAUGCCACUCAUUUGUAAAUAUCACUGAUUGGACAGCCGACUGAGGCAGCCUCUUUCCCCACACAUCAUGGAACCAGACCUCACCACACUCCAAGGUUUACUUUUAUGCUCUGUAGCCCACUCAUUUCACCUAAUAUAUACUUACUUGGCUAUAGAAAGAUUGCAGAUUAUAACUGUCAUAAAAACAACUUAAUUUUACAAAAAAUAAAGGAAAUAAUACGAGUUUAAGUCAAAGACGGGGUUAAAAAUGUUUACAUAGUUUUUUCAUGCCAAUUUUUGGCAUAGAAUUAUUAAACUACCAUAAAAACAAAUAAUGUCAUCUGAUAAAGAAAAUUCUCCUGAAGACGAUAGUGUCAACAGAUUAUCGAUAAGUUAGAAAGGAAAGGAGAUAAGCAAGUUUAUAUACAAACGUAAUAAAUUGUAAUACGGGUUGAGAAUCAUUUAUCCGUAAUUCCAAAAUCCAAAAACAUCCAAACUCUGAAUUCUUUUUAAAUGCUGACUUUUUUUUAUUUAUUUAUUUUUGUUCCGCCUCCUCACGGGUGGGGAAAAGGGGUAUACGAAGGCCGUCAGGGUCAAAUGCGUGCGUCCCUCAGGAAGGCCACAAAUCCUUGCCGGGUGACGGCUCAUGAAGGGGAAAGGAAGAUGCCGAUAGACUGACUUUUAUCGGCUGACGUCAGCCUAGCCGACCAAGUCGGUCUGUCAACGUGGACUGCCAUGUCUCUUUGUACAAGUCGCAGAUGUGAUCGUGGGUUCCCUUUGUUCACCACAAGAUGAGAGUGCUCAAAGUAGAAAACAUUGGGAAUAGAGUCUCAGUUAGGGUUGGCACCUUGAGCUAAAAUAAUAAGGAACUCAGCAUCCCAUUCUCCAAUACAGAAUGAAUCCAUAUUUUUAAGGAACGGGUGGCAACCCUGAAAUUUCUCUAGCCUGCCAUGACUGACAGCCACUGCCCACUGUUGGUGGAGGCAGGAGGAAGGGGGGAGGGACAUUACAACGCAUAUUUUAUACGUAUUUCAGGACGACCCUUGACAAACACAAAUUUAUGGACAUGUUUUGUGGUUCACCGAAAAAUGCACUCACUACGGUUUUAAGAUACUGAAUUUAUCCACUUAACCAGCCAAAUACGGAACAGAUGGCGUACGAGUUAGGUUUGGUUAGUUUAAAUUUAUUCGGCACAUAGUUUGGGGCGGCGGAAAUACAUAACGCAGCGCAGGACGGGACAUAGUGGUGGCGGUCCAUUAUAUGCAGGUCAGUGUUGCGAGAAAUACCUCCUCGCAGAAUCAAGUCACUCUGCUGUUCAGUACACUUGCAUACUGGGGGAAUACACUGCAAGAAAAACAUAAAUUUGCCUGGUUUUGUUCUAUUUUGUCCACUUGUGAUCUUUGUGAGCAGUGAGUGAAAUAUAGAAACAGUACGUAAGCAAGUUGAACCUCUCUGCGAGCUAUUUUGCAGCUGCGGGUGCACAACAGGCAAUUGAAAAGUCAAUCAUUUAGUGAUUUUCGGAGAAAAAAUACCUUCUCCAUAAUAAACAGCAUCAUAUUUUGUCCAGAAAUAAGCAGUCAGCAUCUCAAAAGUAGUAGGCUACCCUCUCAGAAAUAAUCCCCUAUUUCAAUUUUCAUUUUAUUUAGAUUCAAAUAAAAAUAUUCCGAAAUCUGCAACACCUUUGGUCUCAGGGAUUUCAGAUAAGGGAUUCUCAACCUAUAUUGGGCUAUCUGUGACUUUGUUUUGAAGCUGCUCAUCCUUUGCCUACAAUUUUGUAUACGUAAAAGCUUGCUUACCUCCCUUCCUUUCUAAUAUAUCGAUAAUCUGUUGACACUACAAGUUGAGAAUCCUUUAUUGGAAAUUCCAGAAUCCAAAAGUUUUUUUAAUGUGACAUGACACGUCACAAAUUGAAAAUUCCAUAAAGUGAUGGGAAGGUUCCACCAC